CAGUAGGUCUCUUCAUUUGUGAGUGUGUGUGGGGACUCUCCUGUUUUGAAGGGCAGAUAUUAGUGUGUGUGUGUGUUCCUAGCUGUAUGCAGCUAUGCGGAAGCCUUCUUCCUGUGUUUGUUCUCACUGUGGGCUGCUGCUUCUGUCGUUAGCCACGGAACAGAAAGCGCUGUGUUCUCAAGCUCUCCUAUCUCCUCUCUCGCUCUCUUCAUUUCACCUUUUGCAUGUUCACUAUUCAUCCUUUCAUUCCACAGCAUCGGCAGAGAUCGUUUUAAUCACUCCUUGAUGGUCUUUAAUCAACUGUCUUCUGUUAUUUCAUCCUUGUCUGUCUUCAUGCGUUUGUUAACUCUUGGUCUCAGCCAUCGUUUGGAUUAGCUGUGUUUGCCAAGAAGCUGCAGAGCAGAGAGAGAGUCUUCCCUGGGCUCUGUAUUUGGGGGUUCCACACAGAGUGUGGAUGCGGAGCUUGGUGAGCUGUGGGGGCAAGAAGAGAGGCAGCGGCUGGGCGAAGAGGGAGAGAGGAGGAGGGAGGAGAGAAG